AUGUGGAUAUGCAGAUCUGCAGCUGUGGCAGUGGUGAUUUACAGCAGUCCGACCUCGUCUGAAAAUGACAAGAUACGGAUUCAGUUCCUGGCAUUCCAACAAACAGCAGUACAAUACCAUGCUCUUAAUUUUGCUUUGAGAUGUAGAACUGUUUUUAGAGUAAUUUAUGCCAGAGACAGCCUAUUCCUUAAUGGUGGGGUUAUGGAAUUUCAUCAGAAAACAUACUCUUUGUCUUAGGACUUUUCUAACUGCAUGCUCUAACUUCUGGUUUCCAAAUAGUGUGUUGGCUCUGUAGAGAAAUCAGUGCUGGAGCUGUAAGGCCAGGAACUUGCAAGGCUGUGUGCUGUAGAACAGCUGGGGCCAUGUGCUGCCCUGCGCCGCCAUUUUUCAGUGCAAUUUCCUAAUGUCGGCUGAAGUAUAGAAGAUGACCUUGAAUGGGAUGUGUGAUGCACUGAGCUGCACCUUCUGCUUAGUGGAAGUGUGAAGGGGCAAAAGAGUGGACUCCUUCUGUUUUUGAAGUGGUCUCCUCUACCUUGACAGAGUCACAAACCUGUUUCUGUUGGACCUCAAGGGAACACAAGAGUUUCCUAGCAGAAGACACAUCUGGAACAUGCAGCACAGUUUGGAAAGACUGAAUAAAGCUUGAGACAUUGAUUGCCAAGCUCUCCAUUUGCACAAUCCCUUGGACUGCAACCAGUGCAGCAACCAGAGGGAACUCUGCAGCCCACUCAGG
ensembl:lncRNA